CAGUUUCUGUAGAAUUUCCAGGUGGAUAUUUAGCGCCGUUUGAGGCCUAUGGUAGAAAAGGCAAUAUCUUCGUAGGAGGACUAGACAGAAUGUUUCUCAGAAGCUACUUUGUGAUGUGUGGGUUCAACUCACUGAGUUUAACCUUUCUUUUGAUAGACCAGUUAUGAAACACUCUUUUUGUAGGAUCUGCAAGUAAAUAUUUUGACUUUUUUGAGGCCUUCAUUGGAAACGGGGUUUCUUCAUAUAAACCUUGACAGAAGAAUUCUCAGACACUUCUCUGUGAUGUGUGCGUUUAACUCUCAGAGUGCAUCCUUCCUUUUGAUAGAAGAGGG
rnacentral:lncRNA from 1 species